rnacentral:rRNA from 1 species
GACAGAGGGUGCAAACGUUGCUCGGACUCACUGGGCGUAAAGCGCGUGUAGGCGGAUUGGCAAGUCAGAUGUGAAAUCCCUGGGCUCAACCUAGGAACUGCACCCGAAACUGCCAAUCUUGAGUGAUGGAGAGGAUAGUGGAAUUCUCGGUGUAGAAGUGAAAUUCGUAGAUAUCGAGAGGAACACCAGUGGCGAAGGCGGCUAUCUGGACAUCAACUGACGCUGAGACGCGAAAGCGUGGGGAGCAAACAGG